CCAACUUCGGUUAUAAGAUCCCUCAAAGAUGAUGAGGUUAAUAGGUUCGAGGUGGAAGCAUGGUGACAUGUGGAGCUGACGAAUACUAAUCGAUCGAAGACUUAAUCAAA
rnacentral:rRNA from 1 species